GAGCCGUUAGCUCAGUUGGUAGAGCACCUGACUUUUAAUCAGGGGGUCCUGGGUUCGAGUCCCAGACGGCUCACCA
rnacentral:tRNA from 1 species